GGUCAAGCUACGAAGGGUCUAUGAGGGCUGACUUGGUUAUGCCAGGCGAUGAAGGGCGCGGUAAGCGGCGAUACUGCUCGGGGGAGCUGCAAACAAGCUUUGAUCCCGAGAUUUCCGAAUGGGGCAACCCAUCUUGAGUAAUGUCAAGAUACUUUAGCCUAAAAUUUAAAAUAGGGCUAAGGAGCGACACCUAGAGAACUGAAACAUCUAAGUAUCUAGAGGAAUAGAAAACGAAAGUGAUUUCCCCAGUAGCGGCGAGCGAAAAGGAAAAAGCCUAAACCCUGCCGCAAGGCAGGGGGUUGUGGGACUUUAAUGUGGUAGGUGAGGGAGUAGCUGAAGUGCAUGGAAAGGCACGCGAUACAGAGUAAAAGCCUCGUAUGCGAAAUUCCCAAACCGCCUAGAAGUAUCCCAAGUACUACGGGACACGUGAAACCCUGUAGGAAUCCAGGCCGACCAUGGCCUAAGGCUAAAUACUCGGCAUAAACCGAUAGCGCACAAGUACCGUGAGGGAAAGUUGAAAAGAACCCCGGUUAGGGGAGUGAAAUAGAACCUAAAAUCAUAGACCUACAAGCUGUUGAAGGGCUAUGCUCCGCUCGUAAGAGCGGAGAAUGCCUGACAGCGUACCUUUUGUAUAAUGGUCCGGCGAGUUGCUGUGUGGUGCAAGCUUAAGCCUUUCAUUAAUAGUGGAUGGCGACGGCGAAGCGAAAGCGAGUUCUAACAGAGCGAUUAAGUACCAUAUAGCAGACCCGAAACUGAGUGAUCUACCCAUGGCCAGAGUGAGCCUCGACGAAAGUCGGGGGGAGGCUCGAACCCAUCGGCGUUGAAAAACCGUGGGAUGAGUUGUGGGUUGGAGUGAAAGGCUAAACAAACUCAGAAAUUGCUGGUUCUCCUCGAAAUAGUUUUAGGACUAGCCUUGUGUUAACUACAUAGCGGGGGUAGAGUGCUGAAUGGACUAGGGACCUCACCAGGUUACCAAAUCCAACCAAACUCCGAAUACCGCUAUGACUAUCACAGGAGUAAGACGGUGGGGGCUAAGCUUCAUCGUCAAAAGGGAAACAGCCCAGAUCUCCAGCUAAGGUCCCUAAGUAUAGGCUAAGUGGUAAAGGAUGUGAGAUCGCUAAGACAAUCAGGAUGUUGGCUCAGAGGCAGCCAUCAUUUAAAGAGUGCGUAACAGCUCACUGGUCGAGCGAUUUUGCGCCGAAGAUAAUCGGGGCUUAAGCCUAUUACCGAAGCUGAGAAUUUAUCCUAAAAUUCGUUUUAGGAUAUCUGGUAGAGGAGCGUUCUGUCCUACAUUGAAGGCGUACCGUAAGGAGCGCUGGAGGAGACAGAAGUGAAUAUGUCGGAAUGAGUAGCGAAAACACCUGCGAGAAACAGGUGCACCGAAAGCCUAAGGUUUCCUGGGGAAGGUUAAUCCACCCAGGGUUAGUCGAUCCUAAGCUGAGGCUAUAAAAGCGUAAGCGAUGGAAGUGCCGUUAAUAUUCGGCAACCGGCUAAAUAGCGUUUGAACUAAUAAGUGACGCGGAAGGCAGGAGUCGGCCGAGUUUUGGAUGUCUCGGUUUUUGUCCCGGGGACGGGAUGAAGGGACCCGGAGGUUUCCGAAGGGGAAGUGAUUUUAUGCCAUACUGCCAAGAAAAGCUUAUUAGUGAGCUGUUUAGCUGCUCGUACCACAACCCGACACAGGUAGGCUUCCUGAGAAUGGUAAGGUGCUCGAGAGAACCCUCGUUAAGGAACUCGGCAAUCUAGCCUCGUAACUUCGGGAUAAGAGGUACCUCAGAUGGUCAGUUCAUUAGAAUAAAGCUGUCUGAGGUCACAGUAAAGUGGCCCGUGUGACUGUUUAGUAAAAACACAGCACUCUGCGAACUCGAAAGAGGAUGUAUAGGGUGUGAUACCUGCCCGGUGCUGGAAGGUUAACGAGAGCUGUCAGCCCGCCGCAAGGCGAGGUGAAGCGGCGAACCGAAGCCCCAGUAAACGGCGGCUGUAACUAUAACAGUCCUAAGGUAGCGAAAUUCCUUGUGGGGUAAGUUCCCACGCGCACGAAUGGUUUAACAACAUGGGCGCUGUCUCGACGAGGGUCUCGGCGAAAUUGUAGUGGCGGUGAAGAUGCCGUCUACCCGCAUCAAGACGAAAAGACCCCAGAACCUUUACUGUAGCCUGGUAUUGGAUUUUGGUUCAAUUUGCGUAGUAUAGGUGGGAGGCUUUGAGGCCUUGGUUUUGGCUGAGGCGGAGCCGCAAUGUGAAAUACCACCCUUGUUGAAUUAAGAUUCUAACUUCGACCUCUAUAUCGAGGCGGGAGACAGUUCCAGGCGGGCAGUUUGACUGGGGCGGUUCCCCUCUAAAAAGUAACGAGGGGGUUCCAAGGUUGGCUCACUGCGGUCGGCAAUCGCAGGUGGAGUGCAAAAGCAUAAGCCAGCUUAACUGCGCCUCCGACAGGAGAAGCAGAU
rnacentral:rRNA from 1 species